CAGUGCAGUGUGCUGUGGUGCCAAGGACGGAGGAGUGGUGUGGAGUGGAGUGGUGUGGAGUGGCGUGGAGUGGCAGGGCGCUGCGGAGCACGACGACAACGACUGCAAGCGGAGAGCGUGAAGACACCACCAGGCCUGCUAGAACCGAUGAAUCCAUAAAGACAUCACUGAAGUCCAUGCUGUGAAGUGUCUACCUUUUUUUUUCCUUCUAUGUGUUCUAUGGUGUGCUUCAAUUCCACUCGGGUAGAGCCAGAGCACCAAGGAACUGUGCAAGACACUGGCUAUGCACAAUGUACAGACACAUUGUGCCCCCAAGAGGAGAGACAGACUCUUCAAAAAUGACUGCAACUCAGGCCUAAACUUGACUUUAUACAUGUAAUGAGAAGAUAAAGUGCUUGCAUAUGUGAAUAUUAACACACGUCUGGCAUAUUCUGAAGCAUCACAUGGUUUGAGAACCACUGGAAAUGUGUCCCUGGAAAACAAGAUGAGGUAAGAAGUGGUUGAAAUAAUUUAUUCAUUCAUCUAAUGUGCAUUUAUUUAGUUAUUUUACUAGAUAAUAGAGACAGGAUU